rnacentral:rRNA from 1 species
GACGAACGCUGGCGGCGUGCUUAACACAUGCAAGUCGAACGAAGUGGCGAACGGGUGAGUAACGCGUAAUCAACCUGCCCUUCAGAGGGGGACAACAGUUGGAAACGACCGCUAAUACCGCAUACUGAAGGCGGGGAUUGCGUCUGAUUGGCGAGUUGGUGGGGGAAUGGCCCACCAAGGCGAUGAUCAGUAGCCGGUCUGAGGAGAUGAACGGGCAAAUUGGGACUGAGACACGGCCCAGACUCCUACGGGAGGCAGCAGUGGGGAAUCUUCCGCAAUGGGCGAAAGUCUGACGGAGCAACGCCGGGGUAGAGAUGACGGCCUUCGGGUUGUAAAGCUCUGUUAAUCGGGGCGCGGUACCGGAAUAGAAAGCCACGGCUAACUACGUGCCAGCAGCCGCGGUAAUAC